AGAAUCAACGCUGGCGGCGUGCCUAACACAUGCAAGUCGAGCGCGAAAGGGAGCAAUCCCCAAGUAGAGCGGCGAACGGGUGAGUAACGCGUGGGUAAUCUACCUCCGAGUGGGAACAACAGCGGGAAACUGCUGCUAAUACCGCAUGACAUCGUCGAGCCUUCGGGUUUGACGAUCAAAGCCGGGACCGCAAGGCCUGGCGCUUGGAGACGAGCCCGCGUCCGAUUAGCUAGUUGGCGGGUAAUGGCCCACAAGGCUCCGAUCGGUA
rnacentral:rRNA from 1 species